AUUGAACGCUGGCGGCAUGCCUUACACAUGCAAGUCGAACGGUAACAGGUUAAGCUGACGAGUGGCGAACGGGUGAGUAAUGUAUCGGAACGUGCCCAGUCGUGGGGGAUAACUGCUCGAAAGAGCAGCUAAUACCGCAUACGACCUGAGGGUGAAAGCGGGGGAUCGCAAGACCUCGCGCGAUUGGAGCGGCCGAUAUCAGAUUAGGUAGUUGGUGGGGUAAAGGCCUACCAAGCCUACGAUCUGUAGCUGGUCUGAGAGGACGACCAGCCACACUGGGACUGAGACACGGCCCAGACUACUACGGGAGGCAGCAGUGGGAAUUUUGGACAAUGGACGAAAGUCUGAUCCAGCCAUGCCGCGUGCGGGAAGAAGGCCUUCGGGUUGUAAACCGCUUUUGUCAGGGAAGAAAAGGUUCUGGUUAAUACCUGGGACUCAUGACGGUACCUGAAGAAUAAGCACCAGCUAACUACGUGCCAGCAGCCGCCGUAACAC
rnacentral:rRNA from 1 species